CCCUAAUCAAGGGUGGAGCUGAAUGAGUCAUCAGCCCUAAACAAGGGUGGAGCUGAAUGAGCUUUUCUGCCUAGAAUUUGAUUUAAGGUACUCCAGAGCUUUUUACUAUCGUUCUUUAAAUCAUGUAUAUGUGUUCCAUAGUAUAGUUUAUUUUUGUUAAGUUUAGUUACGGGAUUUCUCAAUUUUCUAUAUGUUUGCCAAUCUUCUGUGUUGCCAGACUUAUUAUAUAGACUGAGACGCAGCCAAUGUUUUUAUGAGGCGAGAGAGGAUGCCUAUAGAAAAUCUCUAGAGACUCAUGAAAGCAACUGCAGAGACCUAAAGAUGACUUCAUCAAAAACUGCAUGACCUUUGAUCACAUGAUUUUUGUAAAGUUCAUGAAGUCAAUGUAACCAUAAUGCAACACACUUUGAAAGGCGGUGACCAACGAUGGUCACUGACUUGAUAAAAGUGAUCCUCUCGAACCCGCCCAUUGUCCUGCCUAAGUUGGCAGCAACUCCACAACCUAUGACUGCACUGCUAUCGCUUUACGUGAGGAGAACAGCAGUAAUAGCAGGUCUCCCUCUGGGGCAGGGUGUGGUGGAGGUGCCCCACCCUGAGCACUCCUUCCCUGGGGUUAAAAUGACCCUGCUCUGCCUCUGUGGAUCCAGGACUACAAGAGGAGUGUGUGGAGGUAAAGCUUCAAACCACACGACUGCUAUGAAUCCAAUGACAUGGUAGAAUCUGAGCAGGUCCACUAGAUUAGUAGCUGCUGAGGAAAACGUGGCAACACCCAACGGUUUAGUUGGAAUCUGUGGUGUAAAACUCCUAGGAGCUGUAGCUCUUCUGACAGUAUGAGAAAAUGUAAAUCCUUUGAGGGGUUGAAGGCCUAUUGCAGUAUUCAUGGUGUAUUGGUAUUGAGCAGUGUUAUACUGGAUAGAUAGGAUACAAUUCAGAUAUUACAAUGAGAUAGUUGUUGUUGUGACCUAUUUGUUGAAUGACAAUUAUUAAUCUGUUCAAUAGUAAUAGUAAUGGAUUUGAUUUGUAUAACAAAUCAAAGUGUAUUUGUCACCUGUGCCGAAUACAACAGGUGUAGUAGACCUUACAGUGAAAUGCUUACUUACAGGCCCUAACCAACAGUGCGAUUUUUAAGUAAAAAAUAGGUAUUAGGUGAACAAUAGAUAAGUAAAGAAAUAAAACAACAGUAAAAAGACAUUUGAAAAUAACAGUAGCAAGGCUAUAUACAGUAGCAAGGCUAUGUACAGGCACCAGUUAAUCGGGCUGAUUGAGGUAGUAUGUACAUGUAGAUAUGGUUAAAGUGACUAUGUAUAUAUGAUGAACAGAGAGUAGCAGUAGCGUAAAAGAGGGGUUGGCAGGUGGUGGGUGGAGGGACACAAUGCAGAUAGUCAGGGUGGCCAAUGUGCGGCGGCACCGGUUAGUCAGGCUAAUUGAGGUAGUCUGUCCAUAUAUGAAAAACAGAGAGUAGAGGCAGCGUAAAAGAGGGGUUGGGGAGGGGGGUUGGGGGGACAAUGCAAAUAGUCCAGGUAGCCAUUUGAUUACUUGUUCAGGAGUCUUAUGGCUUGGGGGUAAAAACUGUUGAGAAGCCUUUUUGUCCUAGACUUGGCGCUCCGGUACCGCUUGCCAUGNNNNNNNNNNUAUACACCCUCAUGACUCCAUAAAAGGACAGGGUCAUUCUUCAUCUGCCCUAUAGGCCUAUUUCAUAGAGCCACCCUCACAAAUACAGUAGCCUCAACCAACUGGGAAGGUUUAUAUUGAGAUCCCAGCUGUGUGGGCAAGAUGAUUAUCCACUAAUCUACAUGCGAGUAAAGAGGCUUUCAGAUAUUUAUUAUUCAUUUGCUGAGAGACCCGUUCCUUGUAAUAAGUAGAUGGAUGAAAAAACAGCAGCCCAAUCCUUUAGGUACAAGAGAUUAACAGGUCAGUGGUAAUCUCAUUCAGUCAAGCCGAACAUGGCAUGUCAGGAGUGUGAAUGNNNNNNNNNNACAGUAGCAAGGCUAUAUACAGUAGCAAGGCUAUGUACAGGCACCAGUUAAUCGGGCUGAUUGAGGUAGUAUGUACAUGUAGAUAUGGUUAAAGUGACUAUGUAUAUAUGAUGAACAGAGAGUAGCAGUAGCGUAAAAGAGGGGUUGGCAGGUGGUGGGUGGAGGGACACAAUGCAGAUAGUCAGGGUGGCCAAUGUGCGGCGGCACCGGUUAGUCAGGCUAAUUGAGGUAGUCUGUCCAUAUAUGAAAAACAGAGAGUAGAGGCAGCGUAAAAGAGGGGUUGGGGAGGGGGGUUGGGGGGACAAUGCAAAUAGUCCAGGUAGCCAUUUGAUUACUUGUUCAGGAGUCUUAUGGCUUGGGGGUAAAAACUGUUGAGAAGCCUUUUUGUCCUAGACUUGGCGCUCCGGUACCGCUUGCCAUGCGGUAGUAGAGAGAACAGUCUAUGACUGGGGUGGCUGCGGUCUUUGACAAUUUUUUAGGGCCGUCCUCUGACACCGCCUGGUGUAGAGGUCCUGGAUGGCAGGCAGCUUAACCCCAGUGAUGUACUGGGCCGUACGCACUACCUUCUGUAGUGCCUUGCGGUUGUAGGCUGAGCAGUUGCCGUACAAGGCAGCCACAUCUUUUUAGUUUCCUGAGGGGGAAUAGGCUUUGUCGUGCUCUCUUCACAACUGUCUUGGUGUGUUUGGUGCUCUGUGAAAGUGUAACAAUCAGUUCAAUUGUACACAUUCUCCUCCUCAUCAUAACCAAAAAUGAAUGAUUGAAAAACACUGUAUCAUAGAGAGACCUAGUAAUAAUAAUAAUAAUGAUAACACAGUAGUAGUAUUCAACAUUGGAACUUAUCAACUACGUGCGCGUUAUUGCUCCAUCGUCACAUGAUACAGUUGCUGCUGCGUGAUGACAUCACAGCUAGAGGCAGGUCAAGUUACUGUAGUUCGGUUUCUUCU
rnacentral:lncRNA from 13 species